rnacentral:rRNA from 1 species
AAAACGGAGAGUUUGAUCCUGGCUCAGGAUGAACGUUGGCGGCGUGCCUAAUACAUGCAAGUCGAACGGGAAGGUGUCCUUCGGGGCGCUGGAGAGUGGCGAACGGGUGAGUAACGCGUAACUGAUCUGCCCCAUAGACUGGGAUAACCUUUGGAAACAGAGGCUAAUACGGGAUGAUCUAGGUGGAGUUAGGUUUCUGCUUAGGAAAGGCAAUAGCGCUAUGGGAUGAGGAUGCGUUCCAUCAGCUAGUUGGUGAGGUAAGGGCUCACCAAGGCAAUGACGGAUAGGGGAUCUGAGAGGGUGGCCCCCCACACUGGGACUGAGACACGGCCCAGACUCCUACGGGAGGCAGCAGUAAGGGAUAUUGCACAAUGGGCGGAAGCCUGAUGCAGCGACGCCGCGUGGGCGAAGAAGGUUUUCGGAUCGUAAAGUCCUUUUCUAGGUGACGAGGUAGGACGGUAGCCUAGGAAUAAGUGUCGGCUAACUACGUGCCAGCAGCCGCGGUAAAACGUAGGACGCGAGCGUUAUCCGGAGUUACUGGGCGUAAAGCGCGCGCAGGCGGUGUCAUAAGUUACCCAUGAAAGCCUUUGGCUAAACUGGAGGAAGUUGGGUGAAACUGUGGUACUAGAGAGAAAUAGAGGGAAGCGGAAUUCCGGGUGUAGUGGUGAAAUGCGUAGAUAUCCGGAGGAAUACCGGUGGCGAAGGCGGCUUCCUGGAUUUCCACUGACGCUGAGGCGCGAAAGCGUGGGUAGCGAACGGGAUUAGAAACCCCGGUAGUCCACGCCGUAAACGAUGUACAUUAGGCGUUCGGUUACGUGAGUAAUUGAGUGUCGCAGCAAACGCGAUAAAUGUACCGCCUGGGGAGUACGGUCGCAAGGCUAAAACUCAAAGGAAUUGACGGGGGCCCGCACAAGCAGCGGAGCGUGUGGUUUAAUUCGAGGCUACGCGAAGAACCUUACCUGGGUUUGACAUGAUGGUAGUACGGAAGCGAAAGCGGAAGGACCUUCGGGGGCCAUCACAGGUGCUGCAUGGUUGUCGUCAGCUCGUGCCGUGAGGUGUUCGGUUAAGUCCGCAAACGAGCGCAACCCUCGGUGCUAGUUACAAGUGUCUAGCAUGACUGCCCAUGACAAAUGGGAGGAAGGUGGGGAUGAUGUCAAAUCAGCAUGGCCUUUAUAUCCAGGGCGACACACACGCUACAAUGGUCGGUACAAUGGGUGGCGAAGCCGCGAGGUGGAGCGAAUCCUGAAAAGUCGGUCUCAGUUCGGAUUGCAGGCUGCAACUCGCCUGCAUGAAGUCGGAGUUGCUAGUAACCGCAGGUCAGCAAUACUGCGGUGAAUACGUUCCCGGGCCUUGUACACACCGCCCGUCACGUCAUGGGAGUUGGUCGAGCCUGAAGUCGGGAAGCGAACCCUUCGGGGGCGCUACUGCCUAGGGCAGGGUCGAUGACUGGGACGAAGUCGUAACAAGGUAGCUGUAGCGGAAGCUGCGGCUGGAUCACCUCCUUU